ensembl:misc_RNA Metazoa_SRP Metazoan signal recognition particle RNA
GCCAGGUGUAGGGGUGUGUGCCUGCAGUCCCAGCCAGUUGGGAGGCUGAUGCAGGAGGAUUGCUUGAGCCCAGGAGUUUGGGCUGUAAUGCGCUAUGCAGAUCAGGUGUCUGCACUGAUUUGGGCAUCAAUAUGAUGACUUCCUAGGAGUGAGAGACCACCAAUUGGUGUAAGGAGGGGUGAACUGGCCAAGGUUGGAAAUGGAGCAGGUCAGAACUCUCAGUGCUUAUCAGUAGCGAGAUCACACCUGUAAAUUGCUGCUGUACUCCAGCCUGGGCACCCUAGGGAAACUCUUACCUCU